rnacentral:tRNA from 1 species
UCCUCUCUGGCUCAGUUGGUAGAGCAUGGUAUUUGCAAUGCCAGGGUUGUGGGUUCGAUUCCCACGGGGGAC